AUUGAACGCUGGCGGCAGGCCUAACACAUGCAAGUCGAGCGGAAGAAGGGAGAUUGCUCCCGGAUUCAGCGGCGGACGGGUGAGUAAUGCCUAGGAAUCUGCCUGGUAGUGGGGGAUAACGUCCGGAAACGGGCGCUAAUACCGCAUACGUCCAGAGGGAGAAAGUGGGGGAUCUUCGGACCUCACGCUAUCAGGUGAGCCUAGGUCGGAUUAGCUAGUUGGUGGGGUAAAGGCCUACCAAGGCGACGAUCCGUAACUGGUCUGAGAGGAUGAUCAGUCACACUGGAACUGAGACACGGUCCAGACUCCUACGGGAGGCAGCAGUGGGGAAUAUUGGACAAUGGGCGAAAGCCUGAUCCAGCCAUGCCGCGUGUGUGAAGAAGGUCUUCGGGUUGUAAAGCACUUUAAGUUGGAAGGAAGAGCAGUAAGUUAAUACCUUGCUGUUUUGACGUUACCAACAGAAUAAGCACCGGCUAACUUCGUG
rnacentral:rRNA from 1 species